rnacentral:rRNA from 1 species
GACGAACGUUGGCGGCGUGCUUAAUACAUGCAAGUCAACUGAAGCAGUGGUAGCAAUAUCGCUGUGGAGGUGGCGCACGGGUGAGUAACACGUAGGUAAUCUGCCUUCAGGUCUGGCAUAACUCCGGGAAACCGGGGCUAAUAGCAGAUGAUGCAGCGGCUCGACAUCGAGACAGUUGUUAAAGCUAUGGCGCCUGAAGAUGAGCCUGCGUCUGAUUAGCUAGUUGGCGGGGUAACGGCCCACCAAGGCAACGAUCAGUAGCUGGCCUGAGAGGAUGAUCAGCCACACUGGAACUGAGACACGGUCCAGACUCCUACGGGAGGCAGCAGUAAGGAAUAUUGCUCAAUGGGAGAAGUCCUGAAGCAGCAACGCCGCGUGAGGGACGAAGGGCUUUUGCUUGUAAACCUCUGUAGUGAGAGAAAAAAAUCCCAAUCUUUGGGACAUGAUGGUAUCUCAAAAGUAAGCCCCGGCUAACUACGUG